rnacentral:lncRNA from 1 species
AUGAUUUAAAAAAUAAUUGAUUUAUGAAACAAGAUUUAAAUUUUUGAAGUGACCAGAUAGCAUAUUGAUUUGGAUUUGAAUCGGUGUGUUUUGCAUGCUUAAUUUUAGUAUACUAUUAUUGCUUGAUUUAUCUAGCUUAAGUGUUCAUUUGCUUACUAAGCUGUUUAGUUGAUUAUACGAUUUCUUAUUUUUUUAUAGAUUUAGAGAACUAGCCUACCGGAGUUUUCAAUAUGGAAAAGCGGCUAAAAGAACUAUGGCACGAGCUAUCUUAGAUUAAAGUUUAUUUAAAAUUAUGUAUUACCUUAGCCUAAUGUUAAACUUUGUAAACAAUUGUAAGUUGUGUUAGUUAAUGAAAAAAAUAUAUAUACUAUUAGUUAAAUUAUUUCUGCUGCCUAAUUUUAAUGUCAUAAUGAGAUGACUUGCAUGCUCGUGAGAGAGUUUCCUACGAGUGUAUGGCAGUUGCCGUGAUCUCCGGCUCACGAUCUCAAGUCAGGGUGUGACAAUUUUGGUGGUUGUUUUCUAUUGGUGCUAUCCAGUUUAGACAUACACAUUCUAGAGAUUAUGAUAGGAUAGAAAGUCAUUGGUCACAAUGCGAGCUAGAAGAUCUCUCAAAUGAGUUAUCA